rnacentral:rRNA from 1 species
UACGUAGGGAGCAAGCGUUGUCCGGAAUCAUUGGGCGUAAAGCGCGCGUAGGCGGCCCGGUAAGUCCGUUGUGAAAGUCAAAGGCUCAACCUUUGAAAGCCGAUGGAUACUGCAGGGCUAGAGUCCGGAAGAGGCGAGUGGAAUUCCUGGUGUAGCGGUGGAAUGCGCAGAUAUCAGGAGGAACACCAAUAGCGAAGGCAGCUCGCUGGGACGGUACUGACGCUAAGGCGCGAAAGCGUGGGGAGCGAACAGG